rnacentral:lncRNA from 12 species
AGAGAGCUAUCAUCUCCCUGGAUCUCUUCACUUUGUCUUCCUGCUGUACUCGUCUUGGGUCCACAUUUCCCAUUUCCCACCAAUCAUCUUGGAUUGAGGACUCACCCUAAUGACCUCAUUUUAACUCAACUGCCUCCACAAAGAUCUCAUCUCCAGAUAAGGCCCCAUUCUGAGGGCCUGGGGGUUCGGACGUUAAUAUGUGAAUCUGGGGAGGGAGGCUACAAUUCAACCCAAAACAGUAGAAUUCUCUAAUAUCCUCCACAUCACUCAAAUACAAUUUUAAUUUGAAAGAGGCCUAAAUAGGUUAUAUGGUUUGCCCAAGGCCAAAUGUCUAAUGCUCACAGAAAUAGGAUGCGAAUCCAGAAUUUAUUGCCCCAAGUAUACUUUCCAUUUCUUUCAAUUGCCCUAAGGAACAAAAUAACAACCAUUAAAAAUUAACAACAUUACUCAUCAGUUAUUCAACUCUAUAAAUAUGUGUGUUGUAUGAACUGCCUGCUUAUACGAGCAAGUCCCAUCCCUCUGUAUAAGGGGAGAUCAAGUGUUUGGGCAGAUAUUUAUAAUAAAAGGACGUGGUCUCUGCAAAAUGCUGGGCUCCUGCGUCCGUUGCCGGCUCUGUGCGGAGGGCCCCUGGCUGAGCUUUAUGGAGCUACUCGGGAAAAGGAUUUUCGUGGCUCCCUGAUUUUGGCAAGAAGAGAACAGCUUCCGAGAUGAAUCUAAACUGAGAAGGUUUCUUCCAAUGCACAGAUGUCAUUGAUCUACUUAUAUUUCCUGUGAUAAAAUAUUGAAUGUCUCCUGCUCGCUGCCAGCGCCUAGAGUCUGAUUCUUGAACCACGGCCUGCCUAGCACCCAACUGUGAACCUAAGUUCAUCAUCCUUUUAAGCACAUUAUCUAAUUAGAGGCCAGAGAAAAACACAAAGUGGCUGUUCCAAACCAGUUUGACCGGCCUUCUCUCUGUGCUGUGGUUUAGCCCCAGUGACAAAUAUUAGCCUUUUUCCAGCUAAGCUUCACGGAGUCGCAGGUAUCUGGACAAUUUAAGCCAAAUACUUAGGCUGAAUUAUACAACCCGGAUUUUGUAGCUUCGAUCCAAACUCUACUAAGAAAGCUCAGAGUCCAUUACUUUGCAGAUAUUUUUUAGGGAUUUUUCUUUUUGGUCUGAGUAAAUGCACAUUUCUGUACACAGGGAAACAUUUCCUCAUUGCUCCUCCUCUUUUCUAUCUCAAUGAAAAAUUAAAGUGAUUUGCUUAAAAAUAUGUUAGUUUUGCAUGAAACAUUGCUUUAGCCAUAUUUGUAUAUAAUUUGUGUAUAUAAUCUAUGCAUGCUUGCAGUGACUUACACUAAUUACUAUGCCUUGUUUUUUUGAAAUUAGGGAAUCAACAAUAUAAAAUAAAAGUGUGCACAUAGUGCUAUCUUGCA